AUUGAACGCUGGCGGCAGGCUUAACACAUGCAAGUCGAACGGUAACAUAAAGAAGCUUGCUUCUUUGAUGACGAGUGGCGGACGGGUGAGUAAUGCUUGGGAACCUAGCUUAUGGAGGGGGAUAACUACGGGAAACUGUAGCUAAUACCGCGUAAUGUCGAAAGAUUAAAGUGUGGGACCUUCGGGCCACAUGCCAUAGGAUGAGCCCAAGUGGGAUUAGGUAGUUGGUGAGGUAAAGGCUCACCAAGCCGACGAUCUCUAGCUGGUCUGAGAGGAUGACCAGCCACACUGGGACUGAGACACGGCCCAGACUCCUACGGGAGGCAGCAGUGGGGAAUAUUGCGCAAUGGGGGCAACCCUGACGCAGCCAUGCCGCGUGAAUGAAGAAGGCCUUCGGGUUGUAAAGUUCUUUCGGUAGCGAGGAAGGCAUUUAGUUUAAUAGACUAGGUGAUUGACGUUAACUACAGAAGAAGCACCGGCUAACUCCGUGCCAGCCGCCGCCGUAA
rnacentral:rRNA from 1 species